rnacentral:lncRNA from 1 species
GCUCUCAAUCUGGAUGUCCACCACCCCCCUUAUUAGCACUACCCCCCUUCCCAUACUUUGAUUUAUGCGGCGCGCAGUAGAGAUAUAUACACAUAUUUUAAGGUAAAUCUGAACGCACAGAGAGGAGAGGAGAAAAAGGGAGGGACGAGAAAUAGUUUAGAUCUUAGGGAUUUACUGGCGGGGUUUCCCUCCCCAAAGGGAAAACAAAGGGUUAGAGAGUCGAGAGCUUCCCCCCCCCAUCCUUUCAAAGUAAGCAGCCCCCUCGCGUGCCAGCGGCUCGCAAAAAAAAGGGGGGGGGCGAUCCAAGUCAGCAAACAGGUACCGCGAGUCGAGAAAAGCAGCUCCCCCACCGCCGCGACUUUACCUUGCGGUUCGCCGCCGAAGCUGGGCCAGGUUUUUUCUUGCAUCUGGGGUGUCCCGGCAAGCGGUCGCGGUGGCGAGGCGCAGGGAAAGGGAUGCAAGGGCGAUCGCACCCUUCCCGAUCACCGGGGGACGGAGGAGUUUGGGCCCCAGGAAGCGCCAGCCACAAAUAGCCCAGAAUUGGAGCGAAGAAGAAGAAGAAGAAAGGGAUCGCCGGGCAGGCAAAAGAGCCGGGGCUGGGCAGAAGUGAAAGCAGUCGUCGCGAGCAGCUGGCUUUGCAGCUCGCUGAGCUGGGACAACACGUACACAAGUCCGGUCUCGCUUUCUCGAGGUUCACCCAGAGGAAUUCAAGGCUGGGUCAGAAAAUGGAACCAGAUCAUCCUGUUUCAGAACUAUCCACUGCAACAUAUUCAACACCACCAUUUAAUGGGAAUCCUCCAGUGAGCUUCAGAUUUUUGUUUGGUACUAAGUAACAAUGCUGCAGAAGUAGUAACUGUAAAUGGUUCUCUUGCAAAGCAUGUUAAUUCCCCAGAAAAAAAUAAAGUUUAUAUUGUGAUUGACGUAGCUAUGGGC